rnacentral:rRNA from 1 species
AUAAUGGAGAGUUUGAUCCUGGCUCAGGACGAACGCUGGCGGCGUGCCUAAUACAUGCAAGUCGAGCGGAACCGGAAGAGCUUGCUCUUU